GACGAACGCUGGCGGCGUGCUUAACACAUGCAAGUCGAACGGCGAAGCGAGUGCUUGCACUCGUGGAUCAGUGGCGAACGGGUGAGUAACACGUGAGUAACCUGCCCAUCACUCUGGGAUAAGCACUGGAAACGGUGUCUAAUACUGGAUACGACCAACCCUUGCAUGGGGUGUUGGUGGAAAGAUUUAUCGGUGAUGGAUGGACUCGCGGCCUAUCAGCUUGUUGGCGGGGUAAUGGCCCACCAAGGCGACGACGGGUAGCCGGCCUGAGAGGGUGACCGGCCACACUGGGACUGAGACACGGCCCAGACUCCUACGGGAGGCAGCAGUGGGGAAUAUUGCACAAUGGGCGAAAGCCUGAUGCAGCGACGCCGCGUGAGGGAUGACGGCCUUCGGGUUGUAAACCUCUUUCAGCAGGGAAGAAGCGAAAGUGACGGUACCUGCAGAAGAAGCACCGGCUAACUACGUG
rnacentral:rRNA from 1 species